rnacentral:rRNA from 1 species
AGCUCCACUAGCGUAUAUUAAAGUUGCUGCAGUUAAAAAGCUCGUAGUCGGAUCUCGGGAUCGUGUCGGUGAUUUGGUUGCUUCUCCUGCGUUUCGGCGUUGGGGGUUGUGGCCGGUCAUCGGCCCUGCCGGCGAGGUCCCUACCUUUGGUGGGGUUCCACCUCGCUCGUGCAGCCCGCCGUUGCGAUUUGGCGGGUGUCCUUAAUUGGAUGCCCGUCUCGAUCGUGACCACUUUACCUUGAACAAAUCGGAGUGCUCAAAGCAGGCUCUCUAUCGCUCUAACGGUAGCGCAUGGAAUAAUGGAAGAGGACUUGCUUCCGCUUCUGUUGGUCUCACGGAUGCAGGUAAUGAUCAAGAGGGACGGACGGGGGCAGAGGUAUGUCUCGGCGAGAGGUGAAAUUCUUGGACCCUAGACAGACCCUCGAGAGCGAAAGCAUCUGCCAAGGAUGUUUCCA